AGGAUGAACGCUGGCGGUAUGCUUAACACAUGCAAGUCGAACGGAACCUUCGGGUUUAGUGGCGGACGGGUGAGUAACGCGUGAGAAUCUGCCUCUAGGUCGGGGACAACAAUUGGAAACGAUUGCUAAUACCCGAUGUGCAGCAAUGUGAAAGAUUUAUUGCCUAGAGAUGAGCUCGCGUCUGAUUAGCUAGUAGGUGUGGUAAUGGCGCACCUAGGGCGACGAUCAGUAACUGGUCUGAGAGGAUGACCAGUCACACUGGGACUGAGACACGGCCCAGACUCCUACGGGAGGCAGCAGUGGGGAAUUUUCCGCAAUGGGCGAAAGCCUGACGGAGCAAUACCGCGUGAGGGACGAAGGCUUUUGGGUCGUAAACCUCUUUUCCCUGAGAAGAAGAUCUGACGGUAUCAGGGGAAUCAGCAUCGGCUAACUUCGUGCCAGCAGCCGC
rnacentral:rRNA from 1 species